rnacentral:misc_RNA from 1 species
CUGCCACCCAGGCUAGAGUGCAAUGGCAUGACCAUAGCUCACUGCUACCUCAAACACCUGGGCUCAAGUGAUCCCCCUGCCUCAGCCUCUCAAUUCCAGGAUACAUGUGCAGGAUGUGCAAGUUUGCUACAUGGGUAAAUAUGUGCCAUGGCAGUUUGCUGCAUCUAUUAACCCAUUACCUAGGUAUUAAGCCCG